GAUACCGCCCUAGUUCUAACCAUAAACGAUGCCAACCAGCGAUCCGCCUGGGUUCCUCAAAUGACUCGGCGGGCAGCUUCCGGGAAACCAAAGUGUUUGGGUUCCGGGGGGAGUAUGGUUGCAAAGCUGAAACUUAAAGGAAUUGACGGAAGGGCACCACCAGGAGUGGAGCCUGCGGCUUAAUUUGACUCAACACGGGAAAACUUACCCGGCCCGGACACUGGAAGGAUUGACAGAUUAAGAGCUCUUUCUUGAUUCAGUGGGUGGUGGUGCAUGGCCGUUCUUAGUUGGUGGAGCGAUUUGUCUGGUUAAUUCCGUUAACGAGCGAGACUCUAGCCUACUAAAUAGGCGCUCCGAUCCCUUGCGUCGGACGCUCUUCUUAGAGGGACAGGCGGCGUCUAGCCGCACGAGACAGAGCAAUAACAGGUCUGUGAUGCCCUUAGAUGUCCGGGGCCGCACGCGCGCUACACUGAAGGAAUCAGCGUGUGCUCUCCCUGUCCGCUAGGACUGGGUAACCCGUUGAACCUCCUUCGUGAUAGGGAUAGGGGCUUGUAAUUGUUCCCCUUGAACGAGGAAUUCCCAGUAAGCGCGAGUCAUAAGCUCGUGUUGAUUAUGUCCCUGCCCUUUGUACACACCGCCCGUCGCUACCUCCGAU
rnacentral:rRNA from 1 species